rnacentral:rRNA from 1 species
AAAUGAAUAGACGGGGACCCGCACAAGCAGCGGAGCAUGUGGUUUAAUUCGAAGCAACGCGAAAAACCUUACCAAGACUUGACAUCGUAUGAAGGAUGCAGAGAUGCAAACUCCCUUCGGGGCAUACAGACAGGUGGUGCAUGGUUGUCGUCAGCUCGUGUCGUGAGAUGUUGGGUUAAGUCCCGCAACGAGCGCAACCCUUAUCAAUAGUUGCCAAUAUUAAGUUAGGAACUCUAUUGAGACUGCCGUGGAUAACACGGAGGAAGGUGAGGAUGACGUCAAAUCAUCAUGCCCCUUACGUCUUGGGCUACACACGUGCUACAAUGGCUAUUACAAAGAGCAGCGAGGCAGCAAUGCGGAGCAAAUCUCAUAAAAAUAGUCUCAGUUCGGAUUGUGGGCUGCAACCCGCCCACAUGAAGUAGGAGUUGCUAGUAAUCCCGAAUCAGCACGUCGGGGUGAAUUCGUUCCCGGGUCUUGUACACACCGCCCGU